GUUGCUGUGAUGAGCCUUGACAUGUAAGAGGAUUCAUUCAUUAAAGAUUGGUGCUUCUAUGCAGUAUAUACUUGUUACGCUUUGCUUUCGAGCAAC
rfam:Oryza nivara chromosome 1, whole genome shotgun sequence.